rnacentral:rRNA from 1 species
UGGGGAACAUUGCACAAUGGGCGCAAGCCUGAUGCAGCCAUGCCGCGUGUGUGAAGAAGGCCUUCGGGUUGUAAAGCACUUUCAGCGAGGAGGAAGGUGGUGGACUUAAUACGUUCAUCAAUUGACGUUACUCGCAGAAGAAGCACCGGCUAACUCCGUGCCAGCAGCCGCGGUAAUACGGAGGGUGCAAGCGUUAAUCGGAAUUACUGGGCGUAAAGCGCACGCAGGCGGUUUGUUAAGUCAGAUGUGAAAUCCCCGGGCUCAACCUGGGAACUGCAUUUGAAACUGGCAAGCUAGAGUCUCGUAGAGGGGGGUAGAAUUCCAGGUGUAGCGGUGAAAUGCGUAGAGAUCUGGAGGAAUACCGGUGGCGAAGGCGGCCCCCUGGACGAAGACUGACGCUCAGGUGCGAAAGGCGUGGGGCAGCAAACAGGAUUAGAUACCCUGGUAGUCCACGCUGUAAACGAUGUCGAUUUUGGAGGUUGUGCCCUUGAGGCGUGGCUUCCGGAGCUAACGCGUUAAAUCGACCGCCU